rnacentral:rRNA from 1 species
GGAGGGUGCAAGCGUUAAUCGGAAUUACUGGGCGUAAAGCGCACGCAGGCGGUCUGUCAAGUCGGAUGUGAAAUCCCCGGGCUCAACCUGGGAACUGCAUUCGAAACUGGCAGGCUAGAGUCUUGUAGAGGGGGGUAGAAUUCCAGGUGUAGCGGUGAAAUGCGUAGAGAUCUGGAGGAAUACCGGUGGCGAAGGCGGCCCCCUGGACAAAGACUGACGCUCAGGUGCGAAAGCGUGGGGAGCAAACAGGAUUAGAUACCCUGGUAGUCCACGCUGUAAACGAUGUCGACUUGGAGGUUGUGCCCUUGAGGCGUGGCUUCCGGAGCUAACGCGUUAAGUCGACCGCCUGGGGAGUACGGCCGCAAGGUUA